AUGGCCGACGCGGGUUAAAGUGUAGUAUUUGAUUUUGUCAGCUUAAUAUAUCUGACACGGGUUGUAUUUGGACCGAAGAUAAUAAACUUAUUUUUGUAAGUUGGCGGAGUGCUUGAAGCCUGCUUCACCUCUGCUGUGGGCCGCCCCGGUAUUGCACUAUCUUCGGGAUCGGCCCACGGUUU
rnacentral:snRNA from 1 species